GACGAACGCUGGCGACGUGCUUAACACAUGCAAGUCGAACGGAAAGGCCCCUUCGGGGGUCCUCGAGUGGCGAACAGGUGAGUAACACGUGAGUAACCUGCCCUUGACUUCGGGAUAACUUCAGGAAACUGGGGCUAAUACCGGAUAGGAAUCCUUGCUGCAUGGUGGGGGUUGGAAAGCUUCGGCGGUUUUGGAUGGACUCGCGGCUUAUCAGCUUGUUGGUGGGGUAGUGGCUUACCAAGGCUUUGACGGGUAGCCGGCCUGAGAGGGCGACCGGCCACAUUGGGACUGAGAUACGGCCCAGACUCCUACGGGAGGCAGCAGUGGGGAAUAUUGCACAAUGGGCGGAAGCCUGAUGCAGCAACGCCGCGUGCGGGAGGACGGCCUUCGGGUUGUAAACCGCUUUCAGCAGGGGCGAAGCUUGUGGUGACGGUACCUGCAGAAGAAGCACCGGCUAACUACGUG
rnacentral:rRNA from 1 species